AAUGCAAUAAUGAGACUUCGAUCUUUAAUACUAACUUUCGUUUCGGUUUGAUUAGUAUUAAACAUUUUUGAUAUCCUCCUUCCUGGUACUACUAGGAUACAAGGAGGUAUU
rnacentral:snoRNA from 1 species